rnacentral:rRNA from 1 species
UACGUAGGGUGCAAGCGUUGUCCGGAAUUAUUGGGCGUAAAGAGCUCGUAGGCGGUUUGUCGCGUCUGCUGUGAAAACUCGGGGCUUAACCCCGGGCCUGCAGUGGGUACGGGCAGACUAGAGUGCGGUGGGGGAGACUGGAAUUCCUGGUGUAGCGGUGAAAUGCGCAGAGAUGCGGAGGAACACCGAUGGCGAAGGCAGCCCCCUGGGCCAACACUGACGCUCAGGCACGAAAGCGUGGGGAGCAAACGGG